GACGUAGGGCGCGAGCGUUGUCCGGAUUUAUUGGGCGUAAAGAGCUCGUAGGUGGCCUUCUAAGUUGAACGUGAAAUCCCUGGGCUCAACCCAGGAACUGCGUCCAAGACUGGGAGGCUUGAAUCCGGGAGAGGGAUGCGGAAUUCCAGGUGUAGCGGUGAAAUGCGUAGAUAUCUGGAGGAACACCGGUGGCGAAGGCGGCAUCCUGGACCGGUAUUGACACUGAGGCGCGAAAGCCAGGGGAGCAAACGGG
rnacentral:rRNA from 1 species